rnacentral:rRNA from 1 species
AUUGAACGCUAGCGGGAUGCCUUACACAUGCAAGUCGAACGGAGUGGCGAACGGGAGAGUAAUGAAUCGGAACGUGCCCAGCCGCGGGGGAGAACUACGCGAAAGCGUAGCUAAUACCGCAUACUAUUGGCGCGGCCGAUAUCGGAUUAGCUAGUUGGUGGGGUAACGGCUUACCAAGGCGACGAUCCGUAGCUGGUCUGAGAGGACGACCAGCAACACUGGAACUGAGACACGGCCCAGACUCCUACGGGAGGCAGCCGUGGGGAAUUUUGGACAAUGGGCGAAACCCUGAUCCAGCCAUGCCGCGUGUGCGAUGAAGGCCUUCGGGUUGUAAAGCACUUUUGGCAGGAAAGCGGUACCUGCAGAAUAGGCACCGGCUAACUACGUGCCAGCAGCCGCGGUAAUUC